rnacentral:rRNA from 1 species
UACGUAGGGUGCAAGCGUUGCCCGGAUUUAUUGGGCGUAAAGAGCUCGUAGGCGGCUUGUCGCGUCGUCCGUGAAAACCCACAGCUCAACUGUGGGCUUGCGGUCGAUACGGGCAGGCUAGAGUUCGGUAGGGGAGACUGGAAUUCCUGGUGUAGCGGUGAAAUGCGCAGAUAUCAGGAGGAACACCGGUGGCGAAGGCGGGUCUCUGGGCCGAUACUGACGCUGAGGAGCGAAAGCGUGGGGAGCGAACAGG